GAAGAAAGAAAGAAAGAAAGAAAGAAAGAAAGAAAGAAAGAAAGAAAGAAAGAAAGAAAGAAAGAAAGAAAGAAAGAAAGAAAGAAAGAAAGAAAGAAAGAAAGAAAGAAAGAAAAAGAAAGAAAGAAAGAAAGAAAGAAAGAAAGAAAGAAAGAAAGAAAGAAAGAAAGAAAGAAAAAAGAAAGGAAGGAAGAAGAAAGGAAGGAAGAGAAAGGAGGGAGGGAGGGAGAGAGAAAGAAAGAAGGGAGGGAGGGAGAAAGAAUUUGUCAGGCACUGUGCCAAGCACUUUAGAAAUAUCUCAUUUCAUCCUCAGGAAAACCCUGGGAGGAAGGAGCUAUUUUACACUUCAAGAAACUAAGGCAGAGGAUUCAAGGGAUUUGCUAAAGGUCCCAAUCUAGUCGCGCUGAAGCUUGAGGCCAGCCUCCUCGGCUUUGCCCAGCUCCCGGUGGGCGGCCCCCAGCUCUUCCUCCAGCUGUCCCAUCUGGCGGCAGAGGGCAGCCAGGCGUUCCCGAAGUUGCCCAGUCUCGGCCCGUUGUCGCUCCAGGGCUUCUUCCAACUCCACCACUCGGCGGUUGGGUUCCCCCACAAGCCCGUUCACCAGAGACUGUGCCCAAGGAGGACCAAGACCCAGAAGAAGAGAGACAAGAGCGGGUCACAGGGAAGUGGGGUGAGACAUCAGCAAGAGAGAGACACCGGAGAAGUCAAAGAGAGCAGCAGAAACAUGGAGAGAGGGCAGAGAUGCCAAAGGAGAUGCAAUAGGCAAAGAUGGGCACCGCCACCCGCUCCAGGGCCAGUCGGAGGCGCUCCCGCACCUGAUUGGGGAAUGAAUAGAGAGACUUGAGGGCCUUGAGCACUUCGACCUCAGAGGAGACCCCAGCCGGGGACUGGGCCUGGCGCUUCACGACUGUCAUGCGUAAGGAGCGCUCGUGUCGGGACACCAGGCACUCCAGGUGCUCCAGCAGCAGCUGAG